rnacentral:tRNA from 1 species
UCCUGCGUGGUGUAGUGGUUAACACAUUUGCUUGGAAAGCAAAGGUUACUGUUUCAGUUCUAGCCAGAGGUACAAAUCCACUUUCAGGGU